CCAUGAUGCUGGGCCGGGAUGGUUGCGGGGAGCCUGCUGCUCCCGACUAGCUGGCCCUGAGGGAGGGAGGGAUGUGGGGGAACGUUCCUAGCAGCUGCCGAAACCAUUUGUUUCAGGGAUCCUCCCUGUUUCUUCCCGGCUGGGCACUGGCUGCCAACUUAACUGUUUUCCUUGGUGGAACAGAAACAGGCGUCUGGAAGAGCUGACGAACUCCAGGACUAAGUCCACCGAUCCAGGAGUGGGGUUUCUGGGUCAUCAGGAAUGGACAUAUUCUUCUCUAGUAGACACUGCCAGACAAUUUUCAAGGUGCCUGAAACAAUAUAUGCCUUUGAAAGACAUGUGGGGAAUCAGGGACUUCCCCAGGGCCCUAAAGAGCACCUUGAUGAUAAUUCUUCCAUGAUAUGACCUGACGAGGCAGUGCCAACGUUCUUUUGUGAUUAUCAGAGGUGGCAACAGCCCUGAUGAGGAGAGAUGACAUGGAUACUAGUGAGAUGUCAAGGGGCCAGUGUAGAGAAGCACCAGUUUUCUCAUUAAUACAGAAAUAGAAUGUUGAAG
ensembl:lncRNA